rnacentral:rRNA from 1 species
CCUACGGGAGGCAGCAGUCGGGAAUAUUGCGCAAUGGAGGAAACUCUGACGCAGUGACGCCGCGUAUAGGAAGAAGGUCUUCGGAUUGUAAACUAUUUUCGUUAGGGAAGAAAAAGGACAGUACCUUAGCAGGUAGCUCCGGCUAACUACGUGCCAGCAGCCGCGGUACUACGUAGGGUGCAAGCGUUAUCCGGAUUUAUUGGGUGUAAAGGGUUGGUAGACGGGAAUUUAAGUUAGUUGUGAAAGCCCUCGGCUCAACUGAGGAACUGCAACUAAAACUGGAUGUCUUGAGUGCUUGAGAGGAAAGCGGAAUUCCUGGGGUAGCGGUGAAAUGCGUAGAUAUUAGGAGGAACACCAGUGGCGAAGGCGGCUUUCUGGACAGUAACUGACGUUGAGGCACGAAAGUGUGGGGAGCAAACAGGAUUAGAUACCCCAGUAGUC